rnacentral:rRNA from 1 species
UCCAGGGGAAGGUUCGUCCGCCCUGGGUUAGUCGGGACCUAAGCUGAGGCCGAAAGGCGUAGGUGAUGGACAACAGGUUGAUAUUCCUGUACUACCGAUAACCGUUUGAGAGAUGGGAUGACACAGUAGGAUAAGCUAAGCACACUGUUGGUUAUGUGUGCCCAAGCAUUGAGGCAGUCAAAGUAGGUAAAUCCGCUUUGAUAAUGCUGGGAUGUGAUGGGGAGCGAAAUUUAGUAGCGAA